UUUUCUAUCAGGAAACUCUAAGGAAACCAUGUAAGCUCUCGUGGUUUGUGUUGAAUGGCAAUAAAAGACAGCACAUGCAUAGUUCUGCCCAUCUUCCUUGCUCCAGGUGUAAUUGUAUAUUUCUGCGACUGAGUUUGAUUUUCCACUUCCUUGGAGAUUGCCUGGACAUUCUUUCCAAGUACGGAAGUGCUGAAGUCAAUCAUUUCUAGCAAAGUUGCACAAUGUUUCUCCUCUCCUUUAAUUCCAGGUUCUUCACAAUCUUUCAUUGUAUUCUUAAUUAUCUCAGCUUCCAUUGAUCCCUGUUUUACUGAAAACUGGUUAUAAAUCUCUUGCAACUUGUUAGAUGAAAAGGGUAUUUAAUUGGCAAUUUGAA
rnacentral:misc_RNA from 1 species